UACAGAGGGUGCAAACGUUGCUCGGAAUCAUUGGGCGUAAAGAGCUCGUAGGCGGCUUGUCACGUCGGGUGUGAAAGCCCGGGGCUUAACCCCGGGUCUGCAUUCGAUACGGGCUAGCUAGAGUGUGGUAGGGGAGAUCGGAAUUCCUGGUGUAGCGGUGAAAUGCGCAGAUAUCAGGAGGAACACCGGUGGCGAAGGCGGAUCUCUGGGCCAUUACUGACGCUGAGGAGCGAAAGCGUGGGGAGCGAACAGG
rnacentral:rRNA from 1 species